ACUGGCCCAACUGAUUGAUGGUGCUUGCACCUGAUUGACGAUGGAUUACCAGUGAGUGGCGGACGGGUGAGUAACACGUAGGUAACCUGCCCCGGAGCGGGGGAUAACAUUUGGAAACAGAUGCUAAUACCGCAUAACAACAAAAGCCACAUGGCUUUUGUUUGAAAGAUGGCUUUGGCUAUCACUCUGGGAUGGACCUGCGGUGCAUUAGCUAGUUGGUAAGGUAACGGCUUACCAAGGCGAUGAUGCAUAGCCGAGUUGAGAGACUGAUCGGCCACAAUGGAACUGAGACACGGUCCAUACUCCUACGGGAGGCAGCAGUAGGGAAUCUUCCACAAUGGGCGCAAGCCUGAUGGAGCAACACCGCGUGAGUGAAGAAGGGUUUCGGCUCGUAAAGCUCUGUUGUUGGAGAAGAAUGUGCGUGAGAGUAACUGUUCACGCAGUGACGGUAUCCAACCAGAAAGUCACGGCUAACUACGUGCC
rnacentral:rRNA from 1 species